GGGCGGAGCCCCCGGCCGUCCCCAGCCCCCCUCGCUGGCCGCCGGCAGGGCCGCCGCUGCCCUGCCCCUUUCCCGCCGUAUUUACACCGGCCGCCUCCAUCUUGGUAGCGGUGUUAGCCCCCGCGGGACAGCGCCGGCCCGGCCUUCGCCCCAGCGGGAGCGGCCCGGCCCUACCGAGCCCUUAAGCGCCCCGGGCCGCUCUGCCAGGAAGGACCCCGCGUCCUGCGGUGUGGAAGCGACUUGAAUGCUGCAAGCCAGGAUAUACAACAUCCAGCAACCUACAACUUGCUAAAUUGCUGAAAGAGGCACGAGGCUAAUAUCCUACCCCUACUAUGGACUAGGAAGCUACUUUUGAACAGGUGGGAAGCUCCUUUAGGUAAGGAUUCACGUUUCACAGCUGAAGAUGAAUGAUUUUUUUUCAUGUCCAACCACACCACUUCCUUAUCACAGCAUGGUCUACAGCCUCCUUGUCUGGCCAGUCCUCUGGAAUGAGGGAAAUGUUGACACCAAACCCCUGAUGGCGUAGGAGGACACCCUAAUCUUCCAUCUCCUGGGAGAGUACUUUAAACACGAGGAGAUUAAAUAAGGAACAAACAUCAUUACCGCCUGCCUCGCUGGCUAUAUUUUUAAAUGUAAGCACCCAAGGCUGCUGUGUGUCAUGUUGAUUCACUCCCGUUAGCAUGCUCAAAGCACAGCUCUCAAGUGGUCUCGGGGAAGACGAACUGGGGAAUACACCACUUCCCUUUUAGGCAACAUUUCUAGGCACUCAGCCCUGGCAGGCUGGAAGCACACACACAGCUUUCCCAGCACUUAGGAAACUUCACCCAUGAACAUUUAUUUGUCUAAAAAUUUAGGUGGGAGUUUGCUCUUUUUUUCUUUUUUUUUUUUUUUCCCCUUUUAGAUCUGCAUUUUCAGUCAACCCAGCUGUAGACAGGUAGCUUCUAUGGAACAUGGUGGGCAUUAGCACAAGGUUCAUUGUACUCAGUCCUUAGAAACAUUAAAGAAAGACUGGACCAUGGCAAGACUUGAUAACAGAUUUUUUUCCCCAAGGGAAAAAAAAUUACAAAGAGGAUAAAGAAGACUUUUAUGAUUUUAAUAGGAUCUUGUAUGAUUUUUAUAGCAUGAAGUUUUCAUGCCUUCAGCCCAGAGGUUUUUAAAAAUUAAUACUUCUCGGUUUGGAUCACACAAACUACUGAGUAGUAGGUGUAGUAGUAUCUUUAAAAUGAACUUCAUGCUGGCUUAUUUCGUUUUGUCUGAGAGAUUUUCUCUCUCUUAUAUCCAGUUAUGGGACCACGUGUCCUUCAUUUUCUCGAAUAUGCAUUAGUUUGUUUGGUAUCUUGUUACUGUCUGUAAGAAAUUAUAUGUAAAAAUUCAAGUAGAUGUGAAACAUUAUUGACAUAUGUGCAUGGCUAGGCCCAUGCCAUCUUGUAUUUUUUACCUGUAUGUAGAAAACAAUUAUUUGUAAAAUAUUUUUUGGCAGAAGAUAAUGUAUUCUCCAUGUUAUUCAGUGACCCACGGCAUCUGACCACAUUUACUGACUGCAACAAUAGCAGUUUUGUAAAUCAGAAGGCAUCUGAGAAAACAAAAAUUAAUUUGGUUUCUUUUCUUGCCAUGGUUUUAACCAACAAGCCUUCUUCACUUAAAUUUUGCAGAAGAAUGUUGAGAGUUGCAGACCAUUUCACCUGCAAUAUUUGACAUGUUUCAUCUGAGCACAGUUUUCAUUUGGGUGAUGAAAAAAGUUAACAUUUUAAUAAAUAAUGCUGGGGAGGUUACCUACCAGAAAGAAAGAAAAAUAAAGUUUUCAAUCAAUAUAAAAUUGGACUUAAAGACCUUCUUACUGCUAUUAACACAGAGAAGCACUGAGGCUAGUGUGUGGCUGUUGUCAUUGGGCACUCUAGGCACAGCUGUAGUACAACCUCCAAAUGAAUAUGCGGCUAUACUCUCUGUGUGUUCACAUGAAGGAUAAUAUUGGGCUCCAAGAGUAUGGCUGGCACCGCAAAAUCUGUCACUUUAAAUUCUAACGAGACUUCCAGUCCCGCUUGUGCUGAUACAACCAACUGAAAGCAAAGUCAUUUAAUACGUGCAACAUUUAAAGCUGAUCUCGUCAACAGACUUCACUAUGACUCUUCCUCAUCACGUUUGGUGUAUAAAAGUGAAACCCACCUAAUUGUAAAGUCAGCUUAGUGACCUUCAACACUACAGGAUCAAGCACAGCAGACGCAAAGCCUUUAAAUGUUAAAACAUGGACAGCUGGGGUGAAACUUAAGACUUAAAGUGUGACACAUUAGAUAAAUGGGAGCCUGAUGAGAUGAGGUGGAGUCAUAAAUUGUGUUAGUCACAGUGUUUGACAAAUGAUCUCCAGUGGCACUUGCUUCUCGGUGGGGACUUUCAUUAAUGAUCUUUAGUAUUGCAUUGGUAAAACUUUAUUCAGCUUGUUACACUGUUACACAUCUGGCACAUGUUACCAAGGAAAACCAUUCUUGGGGAAAGCUUUGGUGGCAGAAACUCAACAUUUGUGCAGAAAUGAGAGGAGUGAUACACUAGCUAGGACUUCGCUGCACAGUUAAAAUGAGGGUUAAUUUGCAGAAGGGGAGGGUGAGUCUACAACUUAAAAUGGAGACAGGACUGAGGUGGUGACAUUGGAUACUGCUUUUGGAGAACCUGGAUGCAGCAGUCUCAUCAGAAACAUCGUGUACCAAUCGACAACAAGAGCCACUCUGAACAACAGUUCAUCUGUGUUUUAUGGAGGCAUGCUACACAUGCAUAUACUUUGCAAUUUAAAACAAGCUGAACAUAAUAUUCCAGAGAAUCAAUGAAGCGAGAAAACUUCCGAAGGCAAAAGCCUAAAUGAAGUAUUUGUUAUAAAAAUGGACAAAAUGAAGACCAGGAAAUAAUUCAUCACAUGAACAGGAUGGGGACUGAUUAUUUAACCACAAAGGCCGAGAUGGAUAAGAACGUUUUUCAACAGUAGCUUGUCAGCAUUACAGGUAGGUGAAGUCUCAUACAUUUAGUUUAGUGAUCCAUCUAGAAAAUGAAGCCAGAGCUAUUAACUCUGAGGGCUCACUAUUUUUGUUAACCAAGGCUGGGACACAGUACAGUUGAACAGUAUUAAGGAAUAGCAAAAUGUUAACUGUAGAAGGACAUAAUAGCAAGAAGGAACUGUGGGGAAAAAAAGCCACAGUAUGAGGGCAACCAGCACUCUGCACCAGCUUAGGUGACUGGCAUGGACGUUCUGCAGCAUGCAGCCUGGGAGGUGGACAUGUCACAGUGUCUCCACCACUCUCUGAGCCUUUGCAAACACACGCCUUCAAAGCCUGUCAAAGAGAAGUCAUGAUGCUGUACUGGAAAUAUGAGUUCUGUGCACACAGUGACAGAGCAAGACAAACAGGGCAAGAGACUCAGAAUUCUCCAUGCCACCACAUGUACAUUUGUAAUAAGGUAAGAAUUCAGGUAAAUACAUCUCAUAUGGUAUGAUAGGGUGUUUGUUGUUUCUUUGUUUCAGAUAUAUGACAAACUGGUUUCUAUUCUAGGGGACUCUUCUCCAGAGAGAAGACCCGUGGAUCAAUCUUAUACACAAGCAUUUUUGUAUGAGGUUCUGUGAUUCAAAAGAUGUAUCUAUUAGUUCGUGCCAUGACGAGAGUUUGGAUCUUCACUAGAGGAAUUCAGUGGAAGGAAAACUUUGCAUCUAGGGAUCAUACUUAAAGACCAGGUUGUACAGACUGUAGAGUCAAUUUUGCUACAAGCAGUCAUGGAUUUGAGGACUCAUCUGGAAAGGUCCUGCAUGAAGGCAGCUAUUUCCUCAGAAAUCAAUGUCGCUUAAUCUGAUCCAUCAGAAUUUUCUUCUUUUUAGAGUCACCUAAAAUUAAUUCAUGAAUGAUAUCGCUCUGUUGACAGGCACGUACCUGAGACUUUCACAGAUGACCAGGAGAAUUACUGAAGGCCAACUGAGGCUCUGCGCAACAGAGCCUGCAGGGUAAUAGUCUGCCUUUGACAAGAGUUAGUACUCAUAUCCUUCCCAGCUGUUUUCAGUUGCAGUGUCUUAAGUGUCUUCCCUUUUCUAGCCCUUCCAGCCAGACAUCCUCAUGACAAAGCAGGAAAAGACAAACUAAGGAAGUAGAUGGUAUCAACUUGGCUAUAAUUACUGUUUAGGAAGUUGCAAUACCUUCUGCUUCUAACACAGCUAUUACUGCAACAGCAUCAACACAUCAGAUACCCCUCAUGUGGACUUUAAGGAAGCUUUCAAAAUGCAGGCAGUUAGAAGCCAGCUCAUUGCACCAACUAGGUAAGGGAGCUUCGAACUUGCAACCUAUAGACUUGUAUCCUCCUCCCCUUCUACAAGGCAGCUGCACCCUCGACCACAGUGCUGUGACUUCAGUCGAGCUCCCUGGCGAGACUGCGUGAAGAAGAUGCAUCAUGGCCCAGGAGCAGACAGCAGACAGCAACUGCUGUGGCUGGAACAGCCCUGUUUCUUCUGGGUGUGCAGUGAAGCACUGCAGCCCAGUACCACAAGACCAGUGCUACAAAUCAGGAAACACAGAAAAUAUUGUAAUUGGGAGAAAACCAUAAGUAUUGGAUUUGUCUCUAGUACAAAACUUACUGGUUGAAUCUGAGUUUAAAGUGAGAAAUUAGCAAACGCUAGCUAUAAACCAGCUUUGGUAACAUCUGAGCCACCUAACUUUGGAUUUCUUACUUUGCUGUAAGGAAAGCUGCAGCAGAACUGCUGUCAUGUUGCAACAUAUGGAGUUCAUACUGGCAGUAAUUCUACCUUCUCCUGUAAUAGCACUUCACUGUUUUGACACUGAAUAGUAGAAAGAAUACAGUGACUAGUAAAAAAUGAGAGAACCACUCCCAACAUUAAAGAAUUCAUUUUACUAGGAUAGAUUAACUUGUAAUUGAGUACUCGGGCUAUUCCAGGAUGGUGAAAAUAGUUUGUCUGAAAAGACUUUUCUAAAUGUGUGCAUACAUUAUGUUGCCAUUUAGGUGGCGCCACUCCUUGCAUAAAAUUUAUUUUGCAUAAUUACAGACAGAUUUACAAAAUACUUAGUUGUAACCUUCCGUACUUGCGUGCCACAUAUUUUUUCUCUUGGUUGAGAAUGUAAUAGCCUUCUGCUGUAGAUAUUUAAAUGGGGUUAAGGAUUGAUUUCUGCAAUCCCAUAGAAAAAAGUCUUUGGCUGCUCAUAUGACAGAAAUGACCGGUGGUUUAAGCCACUACUUUUCUUUUGCUUCUAGGCCCUCCACAAUUCAUUACCACUUGUUUUCCAAGGGAAAACAUCUCUUCAGAAAAGCAGCUGGCUGGGGCUGCGUGUACAUGCCUCAGAUGCAGAGUCCAGCAGUUUUCAUUAAAGUGCUGACAAAAGCUGGUUUGUGCUAAGACAGCAGACUUUGCGCUGAGACAUGUGCAGGUGCUCCAUCCUGCCAGGCCAGCCGUGGCAGGGGUGGCACAGACAGCUGGAAGGGCUCUGCCUGGAACAACCUCACUGCCAUUUGCCAGGCUGCCUCUGUCCUUGUCCCUGGAUGGAAAGUGUGGGUAAACUGCUUUGUUCAAGGAAUAAUUGCAAGUGUUAUGCAUAAUGGGGUACUUGUGCGAUGGAUGGAGUAAACCUGUGACAUCUCCCAUUUCCAAGCAGAAUAAUUCAGUGGGAAAAUUCUGGUUCAUUGUGUUCAGAGCAUUUAGUUCACACCACCUUCAGGUCUGGUGGCCUUCUGCUAAAUCCAAGGUAGAGGCGAAACCUUUCCGUGGUUACUGCAGACAGCUGGGAGCAAAAGAAGGUCUCCGAGUUUUGUGGUUCUGUGUCAGAGCCACCAGUCUUGUGGGCUUCAAGGGAAGCCAUGGUAAGUUUGCUAGCUCAUAUGGGGCAUUAGGAAGAGAGAUAAGCUCAGAGAGAGCACAUCAGAUGUGGUAAGUGUAGGGUGAUUAAUAGGACGAGAGACGUAAUAAGGAAGGAAAAUGAUGAUCUAACAUACUGCACAUCAUUUUUAGGAUUCAGCAAGACUUCUGUGUUCAGAUUCAUAUUUCAUAAGAAUUUGUUUCUCCCUUUUCAUUAGAUGCCAAAAAUCUUUAUGUUUUGUUCCCCAUUUCUUUUUUCCCUCUGCAUUGUUUCUUCCCAUUUUCUGAGUAUUUGUAAAACUCAGUUUCACAAAAGCUCAUUUUUCACAUGUAGCAGGUUGUAAAAUAUAGGAGCCAAUUGUUGCUCACUUUCACAGAUGUAAAGAUAAAUCUAAAAUUGAAGUUAAAAUGUUGAAUGGCUGAGAUUUUUUCAGAUACAGACAAAUCUCAUUAUAAAACUAUAAAGAAUUGUCCUGCUGCCCUUCCUAGAUACAUAGCUUAAUACUGGAUGUAUUUAGUUUUCAGAGUGCCUCUCCCACAGACAAAAGCCAAGAUGAAGUAGGAAUAUUCAGUUGCUAUAUAAUGGCAGAAUAUUUAUAAAAAACAAAGCUACAUUCAGCAAAGUAUUGUUCAUUUAGAUGGAUGAAUUGAGCAAUGUAAUUAAUUCUAAAUUUAAUGUGAACUUCUACGUGUAUGAUUAAGAACCCAUAGAGAUAAUUAGAUUUUUAACUUGACUGUGCAGAGUUUGCAACCUGAUUGUUUUGGUAGACAUCACAGGCCUGGUUCUACUAGUCUGCUAGCUGUACAGCUCCUUGGCUCACAACAGCUUUGCAUGGCGUAGAAGGGAGGUGAUAUCUGCAUUCCUUUAUAUGACUAAGUUACUUUGUCAUGAACCUAGUAUAUACAAAUUAAGAUGAAGGACAGGAUUCUUCAUUCCACCCACAAGAAGGAGUAACUCAUUUGAACAGAGAAAUAUUUCAGACGUAGCUUGAAGGUCAUUUUGAACUAGCACAGACACGUUCAUUUGGUGACAAACACUCCCUUAAGGUCUACACUCUCCUACGUGGUCUCCUACGUAGAAUUCUAGCUAAUUAAUUUGGCAGACUAGGUUUCUUCUUCAGCUUACAAAGUGCAGCAAAAUGCACGGAUGUGACACAAAAAAUCUGCUUCUACAGGGAACAGAUCAAAAUCCCCAGAGGAAAAAGAAAUACAGCCACUAGAUGGUUGUUAUAUUUGGUGGUUGUUAUAUUCAGCAGUUGGUAUAUUCAAAACAUGAUGCAUUGCACAGCAACUAUUUGCACAGUGCAACUAGUCCUUUUUACUUCAUGUUUCAGUUUCCCACACAGAAAGAAGAGCUAACGAAUGGGCUCUGCUUCCUUGACAAUUUGUCACCGUCGAUACUUUUUCCACUUACAAAGAUGUUCAUUAAAAUAAUACAAUUUCCCAGCUUUAUUCUGCCGUCACUGUCCAACUCCCAGUGAGAUCUACAGCAUGGCAGUCUGUGGUGAAAUGAGAGACGCAGUAACAGCUCAUCUGACACGUUCUUUUUGUUUCAAAGGUAAUACCCAAUUUAAAAUACACAGAGGUCAACCUGAACUCACAAGCUGUCCACAGCCAGUAAAUGAACAGCAACCUACACUGCAGGUAAUUGAGAGUCUUAGGCUUUGAAAAAGCAGAAUUAGUCUGAGACCAUUAAUAUCUAUAGCUUGGGAAAAUAUCUCCAGCCAGCUUUCGCAGAAGGGCAUGACUGGCUUCAGUGCUGAGGCACCUUCCUGAGGAACAAGUGGAACAGGGUUUCCACACUAGGUUCAAGUCAUCCCCACUACAGUAAACAGGUGGGUUGGGAGAGUUUAAUCUGAUUGCAUUUGUGAGUUGACAUUCAGGAAUUUUCUCUCUCUUUAGAACUAUCAAUCAAAAGUAUUUGCAGAUUUAGGAAACUGUCACUAAACAGGCCUGGCCAGGAACUGGGUUUUCCAUUUCACAGGAAACUUCAUGCUGCCAUUUUUUUCCCAUUUCAACCUAAUAAAUUCUAUUUUUCUGUAGUUGCAAUAAGUUUUAUAUAGAGUUCACAUUUCUCUGAAUUGUUUUUUGGUUCUUUGAUUUUUUUUUUUUUUUUUUCUAAAAAUGGCCAAAAUGUUCUUUCCUGGACUCUUUUUUAGUGCUUUAUCAGUUUUCCUUUUCCUCUGACUUACAUCAACUUGGAGUAUUUUUCAAAGCAUUUAAUUUUUGACAGAAAUAACACUGCAUUAACAAAAAGAAUCCCUGAACAAGCUACACUAAAGAUCUCAUCUACUAUAUUUGGCAUACACCUUUCUAUUUCUUUCCCUACUUUUACAGUUCCUAGACAGCCCUAUGUUCACCCAGAAGAGAAGCAUAAACAUGAUGGCAGUCAUUCUGUAAGACCUUAGUUCAAGAAGCUUUUAAUGGCUUUAGUGGUUAUUUCUUUAAAAAUAUUCUUGCUAAUAUUGCUCUAGUAUCUAUUUAUAUCCUAAUGAAAAAUUCCGGGGGAAAAAAAAAAGCUCAGCUUUGCUCAAAUAAAUGUUAAAAUCCGUAACAAUUUAGAGAGCCACUGCAGAGUAGUGAACCACUGAAAGGAAUCACUAUGUGAAGAAGCCCCUUCUUCCCUUCCCUUCCCUUCCCUUCCCUUCCCUUCCCUUCCCUUCCCUUCCCUUCCCUUCCCUUCCCUUCCCUUCCCUUCCCUUCCCUUCCCUUCCCUUCCCUUCCCUUCCCUUCCCUUCCCUUCCCUUCCCUUCCCUUCCCUUCCCUUCCCUUCCCUUCCCUUCCCUUCCCUUCCCUUCCCUUCCCUUCCCUUCCCUUCCCUUCCCUUCCCUUCCCUUCCCUUCCCGUCUUUUCUCCAUGAGAGGAUAUUUUUUAAAGCUCUCAUUACAAAAUAGAAAUAUUGAAGGUCUUUUGCAUGUACUAAGCCAAAUGUACCGUAAGAGCCCCUCUCGGAUACAGGCACAGCUCUGAUUAGCACUGUAAACUUCAAACCCUUUUUACAUCAGCCUGUACUUCAGCGCAUUAGGUUCCUCACUCUGGGGGGAGGAUGGCAGUCAAGUUCUUGAUGCAGCAAAUUUCUUAGUAGAUAAACUAAAUUCAUGAGAUGAGCCAAACCAAGGAGCUCUAAAACAAUCACCAAUGUGCACAUAGUCACUGUUUCUUAAAAGGACUAAUUGUUUGACUUGUGAUUGUAUUCUGCCUUGAAGAGUGGUGGAUCAUUUUUUGACUUAAUCUAGGGACUAAACUUUCAGAAUACACUGAAAAUAUCUCAGUUUACCAGGCUCAGUUUAAAAAAAAAGGUGCAUACACAGCAUUUAUGUAGUGUUUUGACAGACUUUAUUUUCUGCUUAAGUGAUUCAGUUUUCCCUGGAUACGUAUGGCCCUCUCUUUGUUAUGCAGAACUGUAAUUGCACAGAAAGAGGAUGAGGUCAUCAACUAAGUUACAAUACAUCCACUUAACAUUUCAAAUAUCUUUAAAUAAACGAAAUGUUCUGUAACUAAAAUCAGAUUCUCACCUACUUGAAACAUUAGGCUGCUAGGCUAAAUGAGAAAAAAAAAAUAAACACAUAGUACCUGUUAAUAAAAAGAAACACUGAUAACAGCAUACAAAAUAGCGUUAUACUCAAAAAGAGCCAGUAGCCUUCGGACUUUUGUACCCCCCAAAGUUUCAGAUUCGGGGAAGUUUUUUAUGUCUUAAUUGCUGUAGGAAAGCUGAGCGAUUUUCUUGGAUGAGAAGGAUUAAUACUGAAGAAUCUGUCAACAAAUUUAAAGAUCCAGAUACUUCGAGCCUUCUGCCUGAGUAAAAGUUUAGUACUAACUAAAUAAGAGGAUGUAGCAGUGCAGUGCAAAAGGGGACAGCAAGUUAUGGGACUUCUUAGCAGAAACUGUCUGGCACAAAGAUGCAGGAGGUCAGUGCCCACGUAGAGGAUUUUCUAAAGUGGAUCAGUCAGUGCAUACAUUGUCUUUGAAGUCUGCUGAUGACCUCUCUGAAGUCUAGCUUUGUGUAGAUCCAAAACUGUGAAGCCAGAAAGACAAUGCAGAUAUGGGUGAAGGUGUGCCCACAACUUCAAAGGCCUGAGCAACUCUAGUCUCAGAGGUACAACUGAACAGGCUCCUCAUGGCCAGCCCUUGAGACAGAUGUGGGGACGGCAGCUGGCAGGUCAGGGGGUCUCUGGUACUUGCACAUGUUCCUGAAAACACUCUUGAAGUGCAAAGGCACAGUCGGUGCUGUCUGAAUGCAGAUGUUAUCACCCACAGCUGACAACCACAAGUGGAACAAAACAUUACUCAGAACUUAACGUCAUAUAUUAGUAAUUUGCCUGGUAUAAGCAUGAGCAAGAAGACCUUGCCCCAAAAUGUCAGAUACAUCAUCAUCUACAAUAUUUUUUAAAAACAAAAGCCAGGUAUGACAGAGAACCUGUAAAGGAAGGGAAAGGAUGGACUGAUAUUCCUAAGAAUAAGUGGCUGAACUGAUAGACUGCAGGUCCAGGUACUGGGCACACAAGAUGGUCCUAACUCACCACCUUUUCUGCAGCAGUUCUGGAGGAGACAAGUCAUGAUAGCUGGUGAAAACUGGUACUCUGCAUCCGUGCAUGGCACCCUGCCAGGACCUGGCAGCCAGUCUCCUUCACUGAAGAAUUGAGACCAUCAAUGCAAGUCCACCCCUCACAUACUGCCAAGGGUAUCUAAGACAGUGUAAAAUAACAGUGUAUUUAUGUUGUUGUUUUUAUUCUGUAAUAUUAUGUAUAAUCCAAGUAGCUGAUGAUGCUAUUUUCCUGGCAGCAGAACAAGGAGCUAUUGUAAUUAGAAGCAGAUAGACAAUUUUCAUAUGAAACGUACAGUAUAUGUUACAGCUUUCUGAAACACUAUGGCAAGAUUCAAGGUUAUAACAGAAGAAUGUGGAGAAAGCCCAUACAGAUGAAAUAAGGAAGAAAAGAACUGGACACGCUGAUAAUUUCUUCAUCUUUCUCAUAGGUAAAGUCAGCCAACGACACUUGCUAGUCCUGCAUAUCACCCUCUGAAGCUGGUGGUGAUGUUGCAGCUCAGAGCCACUGCAGGACAAGAUUUGGGAACACCCAGGUCCAAUCCUGCCACCUGUAUUAGCUCCCCUGUGAUCAAAGGGCAAGGCAAGGCUGGGCCUUCACUGCCUGUAUAACAACAACUUUUAAAAUUAAAACUUUACAAAAUAAAAAAAGUAGUCACCUGAAAAACAAAUACUUUCUUGCUGAAAUAUGGCAUAUAGAGAAAUAAAUGGAAUAUAUUUAUUUCUCAGCAGUCAGACACAGCAGAUACAUCAUAUCUCUCUUCUAAUUUUCUCUUCUCUGCUCUCCCUCUCCCAGAAUGCAUUUUCAAAAUUAGUAAGGGAGAGAGGGCAGACAACAUCAGUUGACAGGUUCCUCUGUAACCAUGGUGUUAACAUUGAGAAAGACAAGUAUUUAUCUUCAUAAACUUUUUGUUCAAAGAUAUAGCUUAGCGUAGAAUAAUAUAUCAAAUGCAAAAGUUUUGAAUUUUUUUAUAAAUGCAUUCCCCUUGUUUUUUUAAUUGUGGAGUUACAUCGAUGUUUCUUAGGAAGGGUGUAUAUAACUCAUGCACCAGAAGUGAUAUCUAGGCAGCUAGACUUUGCUACAGAGUGACAAGAUACAGAGACUUUCUGCAGGACGCCAAGUGUUUUUAGUUCAGAGCAGAAAGCCCUUUACUAGGAACUGUGAGAGAUGAGCUAUCUAGCUUGCAGCACUGAAACCAGGUGCCUGGAACUGUUUGGAGUUAGUACCUGCCUUCAGGAUGAAAAGAGAUAUUGCAGGUGCUGGCUUCAUACAAUUCACUCUGGGCAAUUCAUCCCCAGAUAGUUCAGGUUCAUCUUUAAAGCAGUGAACAGACUAGUAAUUUAUGUCCCAAAUGCUGACUGUUUUCAGCAACAUGACAUCGUAGCCAUUCAAUAUUUAUGGAAAGAAAAAGAAAAUAAAAAUCUUGAAACCUAGCAUUCUAACUCCUAAACAUCUUCUUGUAUGAUCAGUAUUAUAAUUAACAACCUGGAAAUCCAAAUUCCCGCUGUGCACAAAAGACCCCCAACCAAGCAAGAUUAUGAUCUGGGCUGUUAACACCAGGUAGCCUCUCUGCGAGAAUCCCUUCUCCCCGUGCUGGGCUACAUGCUACCCUUGGUCACACAGCACCAAUCCCAGAAGUGUCCACACGUUCUGUACUUGCAGACGACACUGAAUGCAGCUCCUGCUAGAGCCCCGUGGGCAGGCAGCUCUCGCCAGAGACUUACCAGCACAUUGCCAAGGACUGGUGCUGGUGGAUGCCGCUCGACACGUCACAGCUGGGGGGUUAUAGUUACCACAAGCAGCGCUGACAGGUCAAAGGCUGGGGAGUAGGUCAGAGACCUAAACCAACAUCUUCAGCAAACAGAAUACUUCCAAAAACACAUAAAAUAAACCAAAGAUUAAUUUCCCAGUAAAUUUGAUUUUCUAAAAGAAAUUUAUCCACUACCAUCAUGCACUUACAGAAAAAAAUACUGCAGAUAUUUCAAAUUGCCACUAGACUUUCUUAAACACCAAUUCAAUGUUGUUACUUAUUUUGAGAAAUAUAAUUCAUAGGUAUAACAAAGGCUUAACAACUCCUUAUUUCUAUUUUGCUGAAACUAGAAGUAAUCAUUGUAUAUUCAAAACUAUUUAACAUCUAGCCUUCCCUUCCCAAACCCAUACAAAAUUAUUGUAGGUCUUUAUAAAUAACUGCCAUUCUGUGUAUGUAAACUGUUUUCUGAAUUUAGCGAAAGCUACAAAUCUAUUAUGGCAGCCUUCCUACAGGAAGAAUCAUGACAGGAAACAGAACUUUUUCAAGAAUUGGACUCAUACAUUGGAAGCCCCUUGUGCAAGUGCAGGUGACUAUAAAUCUCAUCACAUUCAAAACAUGGUAGAAAUCUCUCACAAAAAUCUCGAUUAUUUGAUUAAGGUUUCUGCUAAACUGUUCUAGACACACACACAAUAUACAUAUAUGCAGUUUUUUCCUCACACCUACAGAAAUGUAAAUUAUGGAUGAAGAAUUUCAAAACAGCAGGGACAAGCUCUGAGAGAAUAUGGCAUCAUACUACCUGAAUAGCACAGUUAAGACUGGUCCAUUCACAUCUCAGCCAGAUCUGUAGCCCGCCCUUCCAUACAUACUAUUGCUUAAAGUAUUAACUUUCCUUAAACCUGUUUAAAUACAUAUUAUCUGACAAACGUAUAGAUUUCAGAUACCAAAAGAAUAAUUUUUGAAUGAAACUCUUAUUAUUUCCCCUCUCUUUGUCAUCAGUUUUCAAGACGCUGUUAAUGUAAACCAGAAAGUACAGAAUUGUUCAGCACAGAUGGCACAGCAAUAAAAAUCUGGACAUUUUUCAAGUGAA